rnacentral:rRNA from 1 species
ACUUACCAACCCGAUGCAAACUGCGAAUACCGGAGAAUGUUAUCACGGGAGACACACGGCGGGUGCUAACGUCCGUCGUGAAGAGGGAAACAACCCAGACCGCCAGCUAAGGUCCCAAAGUCAUGGUUAAGUGGGAAACGAUGUGGGAAGGCCCAGACAGCCAGGAUGUUGGCUUAGAAGCAGCCAUCAUUUAAAGAAAGCGUAAUAGCUCACUGGUCGAGUCGGCCUGCGCGGAAGAUGUAACGGGGCUAAACCAUGCACCGAAGCUGCGGCAGCGACGCUGAUGCGUUGUUGGGUAGGGGAGCGUUCUGUAAGCCUGCGAAGGUGUGCUGUGAGGCAUGCUGGAGGUAUCAGAAGUGCGAAUGCUGACAUAAGUAACGAUAAAGCGGGUGAAAAGCCCGCUCGCCGGAAGACCAAGGGUUCCUGUCCAACGUUAAUCGGGGCAGGGUGAGUCGACCCCUAAGGCGAGGCCGAAAGGCGUAGUCGAUGGGAAACAGGUUAAUAUUCCUGUACUUGGUGUUACUGCGAAGGGGGGACGGAGAAGGCUAUGUUGGCCGGGCGACGGUUGUCCCGGUUUAAGCGUGUAGGCUGGUUUUCCAGGCAAAUCCGGAAAAUCAAGGCUGAGGCGUGAUGACGAGGCACUACGGUGCUGAAGCAACAAAUGCCCUGCUUCCAGGAAAAGCCUCUAAGCAUCAGGUAACAUCAAAUCGUACCCCAAACCGACACAGGUGGUCAGGUAGAGAAUACCAAGGCGCUUGAGAGAACUCGGGUGAAGGAACUAGGCAAAAUGGUGCCGUAACUUCGGGAGAAGGCACGCUGAUAUGUAGGUGAAG